rnacentral:ncRNA from 2 species
AACAGUUGUAUGGGAAGAGAUCCCCAGCGAUGGUUGAGUAGCCAUGAAUGAAACGAAUGGCGUAUCGAAACCUGAGCGAAGGACGCCGAAGGUGCAAAUCUGGAAAAUAGCAAAACCAGACGAAUCUCUCAGGCAAAAGGACCCUACAACUGCA